AGAUUGAACGCUAGCGGGAUGCUUUACACAUGCAAGUCGAACGGCAGCGCGGACUUCGGUCUGGCGGCGAGUGGCGAACGGGUGAGUAAUAUAUCGGAACGUGCCCAGUAGCGGGGGAUAACUACGCGAAAGCGUGGCUAAUACCGCAUACGCCCUACGGGGGGAAAGGGGGGGAUUCGUUCGGAACCUCUCACUAUUGGAGCGGCCGAUAUCAGAUUAGCUAGUUGGUGAGGUAAAGGCUCACCAAGGCGACGAUCUGUAGCUGGUUUGAGAGGACGACCAGCCACACUGGGACUGAGACACGGCCCAGACUCCGUACGGGAGGCAGCAGGUGGGAAUUUGGACAAGUGGGGGAAACCCUGACUCCAGCCAGUCCCGAGUGUGUCG
rnacentral:rRNA from 1 species